CUGAGUUUUAAAGUGGACGGGGUUCCGAAUUUAAUUCCACCCGCCCACCUAAACAUAAGCGAUUUAUCCCAAAUCCGGCAAGAGCCCGCAGAAACAGUACACCAUUACUGGGCCAGAUUCCUCCUGGUUAUGAACAGGAUAAAGGACUGCCGCAAGGAGGACACAAUUUCAUUCUUCUGCAAUAAUUGCACGGACAAGGGGAUCCUCAACGCCGUAAGUCGUUGUGAAAUUACACGCUUCGCUGACUUAGCAUCCAUAGUACAAAAGUACUAUGUGAUGGAAAGCGCCUGGAAAACCGAAAUCAAUUUUUGGGACAAUCCGGCCCUGAAUGCA
rnacentral:rRNA from 1 species